rnacentral:rRNA from 1 species
CUCCUACGGGGGGCAGCAGUGAGGAAUAUUGGUCAAUGGCCGAGAGGCUGAACCAGCCAAGUCGCGUGAGGGAUGACGGCCCUACGGGUUGUAAACCUCUUUUGCCGGGGAGCAAAGAGCGGGACGCGUCCCGCCUCGAGAGUACCCGGAGAAAAAGCAUCGGCUAACUCCGUGCCAGCAGCCGCGGUAAUACGGAGGGCGCGAGCGUUAAUCGGAAUUACUGGGCGUAAAGCGCGCGUAGGCUGUUGUGUAAGUUGGGGGUGAAAUCCCACGGCUCAACCGUGGAACAGCCCUUGAUACUGCGG